rnacentral:rRNA from 1 species
GUACUGUGCAAACGUUGUUCGGAAUCACUGGGCUUAAAGGGUGCGUAGGCGGCUGUUCAAGUCGGGGUGUGAAAUCCCUCGGGCUCAACCGAGGAACUGCGCCCGAAACUGAACGGCUUGAGUGAGAUAGGGGUGUGCGGAACUUCCAGUGGAGCGGUGAAAUGUGUUGAUAUUGGAAGGAACACCGGUGGCGAAAGCGGCACACUGGGUCUCAACUGACGCUGAGGCACGAAAGCCAGGGGAGCGAACGGGAUUAGAUACCCCGGUAGUCCUGGCUGUAAACGAUGAGCACUAGACGGGAGGGGCUUCGGCCCAUCCGGUCGCAGCGAAAGCAAUAAGUGCUCCGCCUGGGGAGUAUGGUCGCAAGGCUG